ACUUCUUAACACUCAAAUUCAACAAAACUACCCAUACGCGUAAUUGGAUUGGGCACGAUCGUAUUCUCUAACCCCAAAUCAGUACGUUCUCAACUUGAUACCACUUUCUUCGGUCCAGAUAUCAAGACCGGGUGCACACGAUGUCGUGUCAAGAACUUUGCAAACUGUUAUCACGACGAACGGGGACGGCGAAAUUUUAGAUUCAAUAGAAAUAUGGGGAGGUCUGAGUAAUUUACUAAUUUCAUACCUCCAUUUUAAAUCAGAGAAGAUUUCUAAUCCUCUGCACGAAGUACUCCUGUACUUUGCGUGGAAGCUCACAGAUCGGAUGGCUACCAGAACCGGAGGGAGGAAGGGAAGGGGAAGAGGUUGUUUCACUCGCUAUAAUGCCUCCUGGUUGUAGCGUUUUUCUAGUUUUACUACUUAAAGUGAACGCCGAGCUCGUUCGAGUCGAUUCGGAGACUCAGCGGGGAUGGCUCGGCCAUGUACGAUGGGUCCGGUGAUGGUGAGAGCCAUGAGGCCGUGCGGAGGAAGAUCCCGCCGGAUUCAUCGAUGCCUUGGUCCGAAACCUCCGCCGGUUCAUCGGUUCCGGCGCCGGACUUAGAUCCUAAGCCUUGAUGGGUAUGCGAACUUUAUGCAGAAACAUCUUUUUGUGUGAAUGUGCGUGUAUGGUGCUGAAGUGCUUUUGGAGCAGGUGACUGCUAUGUACUGUAUUUUAUCAGAAUUCUUUGUUUGCUAUAUUUUUUUUAAUGGGGAUUUAUAGUAUUUUCUUUCGGGACCUAAAUGGUGUGGGACAUGAAUAAUUUUAAGGUAAUAAGAUGUGUUUAAUUGGUAUUUGAAUGCAGCUCUGUUAGACUGUUUGGUUCUGAAGAAGCUGGGGAAAGAUCUUGAUUAUAUGGUUAUUUGUCAUUUGGGAUUUGAGGAGAUGGACACCUGUGUUCAACUGAGGCUAAUGCAACCUUUUGGCUUAGGUAACUUGAGUUUUUCAACUUGAAAAAAAAAAGCUCUAUGAGAAGAAAAGAAAAAUGGGUGCACUAUUCUUUUUAUGGAGUGUUUGGAUUGAGAAAGACGGGAAAGUUAAGAAAUUAAGAAUUUUCAAGUGUAGAUGAACAUGUAUUCUGUCUUGGUGAAGUCUCUCUUAGAAUUCUGCUAGAAUAGCCCACCAUAAUAUGUGAUUAUCGGAUUCUAAAUUCCUUCCUUGAUAUAUAGAGGUCUUACCUUGUAAGUUUUUCGCUUUUAACAUAAAGGCCUUAUAGUUCCCUUAUUAAUGUAUGCACGGCAGGUUAUUGUUAUCUAUAGAAUACCCCUAAUAUGCUGAUUCAUCAGUUUCUGGCAUAUGCAUUCGUGCAUAGUAUGAAAAUGCAGACUCCAUAUUCAUUUCUUGAUGUCAAAAUAUGCAUUUCCUUUUGUAUCCGAUUAUUUAACUUGGUAUUUAUUUUGUAAAGCUUGGCACAAAGAGAAACUUGCUUGAUAUGUUUAAAGAGAAGCAACAAAAAGUGAUGAAGCUAAUACUAUCGAGUUUCUACAAGAAGGCAUGUGUUGUACUUGUAGCUCGGACUUGAUUAUAAAAUACUACAUAUAAAGAUAGGACAGGGACAAUAUACUGGAGUUACUUUCUUGUCUUAUUUCUUGGUGCAUAUGUUCAUGGAAAAUGCUUAGUUCACUGACAAAAGUGUACCGAUGAAGUACACUGAUUAGUGUUUUUUUUUUCUCAAAAGCAUUUGUGUGUGUUUAUUUUUUAGUAUUUAAAAAAAACAAACAACACUGAUCGGUACCCCUUUCGGUAGCAAUCCUUGAUGCAUGUAGCACUGUCCUAUGUUCAUUGACAGAGACAAAUGUCUUUAGUAAUAAUAACAGUAGCAAAAGUUUUGCUUCUAAAAAAAAAAAAACCAGAAACAGCUGUGAAAAAGUUUGUGUUUUUUGCAGUUACAAAUAUGCAACUUUAUUUGGUACGUACUGGCUGUUGCAUAUUUUACAUACACAAAAGCCACUGAGAACUUAGGCUUGGAACUUUUUAUGAUCUGUUUUUUGAUUUUUUUUUUUUUUUAUAGGUGGCAAAAUAUACUUUUUAAAGGUAUCAUCCUCAUCUUGCUGCCUGGUCUUCUGAUUGUUGUUAGGUUUUACUGCCUAAGUAUUGGUAAUUUGUUUUCUGGUGAGAAUAUCGCCUCUAAUUAUUUCAGAAGCAAUCAGAUCUGUUGCUCAAUGCUCACAAUCCAGAUACAAAUUUAUACCAGAAAAGUCUGUUGAAAAGUUCUCAUCCUAAACCCAAUACGGUGCACCAAAACAAAGCCAAAGAUGGGGUUACUGGAUUUUUUAUGCUAUGCCCCUGAAGAAAGCCACUUUGUACUAAAAAAACAUGCAUCAUCUGUUUAUUUUGCCAAAAGCUGAACACACUUGUAUGAUUAAAAUAAAAUCUGAAUGAACAACGAAAAUGAAGUCAUCCAGUUUUUCUUUGUUUUCCAAACAAGUUUAUUGUAGUGUGUUUGGCCUGUUUAGGCUUAUAAUUAUUGGAUUUUUUACUCGCACGAAUAAAAAUAAUAAUUAAGUAUUCUAUUAAUUCAGUCUUAUGGAUGGAUUCACAACUUUUGAUGAUGUGAAAUUUAAAAUUGAAAUUUGUCAUCUUUUUUUCUCCACUUCACCUUUUCUAUGCAGUGUUGAUGAUUUACACAUUUUUUUUUGCAUUUGAUUUUGGAUCCACUUAUUCAUUCCUUACAACUGAUAUGCUUUGGAUGGUAUUUGAUGAACAUGUUCUCCGUGGGAAAAGUAGUGGAGGAAAUGCUAGGGAGAUGGAUUUUGAAAGCUUCAGAAGGGUUAACUUAUUUGUUUCGGUGUCUUGAUCAUCUUGGAAGGGGUUACCUUAACGCAGCUGACUCGCACUCACUUUUGUUGUUGAUUAUAAUCUGGCUCCCUAAUUUGUCUCGGGUGCUUUUCUUGGUGGUUGUGAUCAACUCGUGUGUGUAAUGUAUAUUUGUGUCCAUCUUUUUCCUCAAUCUUCUUUGCAACCAAGCAAAGCCAAAUAUGGAAGAAAAGAAGGGAAACAUCCAAAAGCUGAGAUGUUUUCUGAUACAACCUUCCUACAGUAAACCUCUGUAGUUUCCUGCUUGUAGUACUAGAGCAAGUUCUGCAAGUCUCAAAUUACCAGAGACACGAAUCCAGGAACCAUUUAAAAUUCUGGUUUAGCUAUUAAAAUCCUUUUUUAAUAAUUAGUAUCCUUGGCUGGUGA